UCCCGUUGGUCCUGCGGGGGAUUGCUGCUAUUGGGAUCCGAUUUAGCCAUGCAAGUCACGGGGACCUUCGGGUCACCGGCAAACCGCUCAGUAACACGUCAAUAAUCUGCCCUAUGGUCAGGGAUAGCCUCGGAAAACUGAGGGUAAAACCUGAUAGGAAAUAAAAUCUGGAAGGGUUUAUUCCUCAAACUCGUGCCGUAGGAUGAGUUGGCGGUCGAUUAGGUUGUUGGUGGGGUAAAGGCCCACCAAGCCUAAGAUCGAUAGGGGCCUUGGUAGAGGUAGCCCCGAGAAGGACACUGAGAUACUGGUCCUAGCUCCACGGAGUGCAGCAGGCGCGAAACCUUUACAAUGCACGAAAGUGCGAUAGGGGGAUCCCAAGUGCUCAUACACUGUAUGGGCUUUUGCCAAGAAUGAAUACCUUGGCGAAUAAGUGGUGGGCAAGACGGGUGCCAGCCGCCGCGGUAACACCCGCGCCACGAGUGGGAAUCGCAUUACUAGGCCUAAAGCGUCCGUAGCCGGUUUUGUAAAUCUCUUGUGAAAUCGUCCUGCUUAACUUGACGGCGUGCAGGAGACACUGCAAGACUUGAGACCGGGAGGAGUUAGAGGUAUUCUUGGGGAACUGGUAAAAUGGUAUAAUCCUAAGAAGACCACCUGUGGCGAAGGCGUCUAACCAGAACGGUUCUGACGGUGAGGGACGAAAGCUAGGGGAGCGAACCGGAUUAGAUACCCGAGUAGUCCUAGCCCUAAACGCUGCGAGCUAGGUGUUGCAUAUUCUAUAUGAAUAUGCAGUGUCGAAGCGAAGGUAUUAAGCUCGCCGCCUGGGAAGUACGGUCGCAAGGCUGAAACUUUAAGGAAUUGGCGGGGGAGCACUACAAGGGGUGCGGCGUGCGGUUUAAUCUAGCUCAACGCAGAGCAUCUCACUAGAGGCGACGGCAGAAUGACAGUCAGUCUGAAGGGCUUACUUGACGAGCCGAGAGGUAGUGCAUGGCCGCCGUCAGCUCGUGCCGUAAGGUGUCCAGCUAAGUCUGGUAACGAGCGAGACCUGUAUCCAUAAUUGCUAACAGACACUCAGGUGGGACUGAGCACUUUAUGGAGACUGCCCUCGAAAGGGGGAGGAAGGUGCAGGCUACGGUAGGUCUGUAUGCUCCGAAUCUUCUAGGCUACACGCGCGCAACAAUGGUAAAGACAAUGGGCUGCAACCCCGAAAGGGGAAGCUAAUCCUCCAAACCUUACCUUAGUUCAGAUUGAGGGUUGUAACUCACCCUCAUGACGUUGGAAUCCCUAGUAAUCAGAAGUUAUCAUCUUCUGGUGAAUAUGUCCCUGCUCCUUGCACACACCGCCCGUCAAACCAACCGAGCAGUGUUUAGAUGAACUCUAUUCUUUAAAUAGUGUGAAUCUAGGCUCAGUGAGGUGGGUUAAGUCGUCACAAGGUA
rnacentral:rRNA from 1 species